rnacentral:rRNA from 1 species
GCAGUAUCUUGACUGUACAAAGGUAGCAUAAUCAUUAGUUUUUUAAUUGAAAGCUGGAAUGAAUGGUUGAAUAAGGAAAUAACUGUCUCUUUUUAAUUAAUUGAAUUUUAUCUUUAAGUCAAAAAGCUUAAAUAUUAUAGAAAGACGAGAAGACCCUAUAGAGUUUAAUAUGUUUAAUCUUUAUGCAUUUGUAGUUUAUAUAUUGUUAAAGUUUAAAUUUAUUUUGUUGGGGUGACACUGGAAUUUAAUAAACUUCUUCUAUAUUAACAUUGAUUUAUGAAUAAAUGAUCCUAGUUUUUGGAUUAAAAGAGCAAAUUACCUUAGGGAUAACAGCGUAAUUUUUUUGGAGAGUUCUUAUCGAUAAAGGAGAUUGCGACCUCGAUGUUGGAUUAAAGUUUAUUACCGGUGAAGAAGUUGGUAUAUUAAGUCUGUUCGAC